AACGAACGCUGGCGGCAUGCCUAACACAUGCAAGUCGAACGAAACCUUCGGGUCUAGUGGCGCACGGGUGCGUAACGCGUGGGAACCUGCCCUUAGGUUCGGAAUAACUCCCCGAAAGGGGUGCUAAUACCGGAUAAUGUCUUCGGACCAAAGAUUUAUCGCCUUUGGAUGGGCCCGCGUUGGAUUAGCUAGUUGGUAGGGUAAAACCCUACCAAGGCGACGAUCCAUAGCUGGUCUGAGAGGAUGAUCAGCCACACUGGGACUGAGACACGGCCCAGACUCCUACGGGAGGCAGCAGUGGGGAAUAUUGGACAAUGGGCGAAAGCCUGAUCCAGCAAUGCCGGGUGAGUGAUGAAGGCCUUAGGGUUGUAAAGCUCUUUUACCCGGGAUGAUAAUGACAGUACCGGGAGAAUAAGCUCCGGCUAACUCCGUG
rnacentral:rRNA from 1 species